CUAUCACCGUACGGUUUCUCCCGUAUCUCCAUUUUUUCCUUCAAAAUCUCCAACCGAAAAUCAAACCUUUUCUCCUCCUUAUUUUACAAACGCAGCCAUUUCUUCCUCAUACAUUCUUCCAUCCAAAGUCUGAGAAUCCCAACGUAGUUCCUUCUCUUCCACGAAAAAGUGUGCAGGAGAAACCGAGAGAAGUGAGAUUUUCAAUACCUUCUGCAUCUGCAAAUUUUGCUUCUUCGAGAAGGGUGAUCUUGUGCACGUCGUUUGAGGUUGGAAUCGAAAGUUGAUUGAGGAGUUAGGCGAUUGAGAUUGAGCGACGACGGGCGUGGAGGAUGUUGAGCAGAAUUCAUGGAUUAUUUAUGUUUGGCUUAGUAUCGUUGGAUAUGUCGUGUCUUCAUACUUGACAUUUUCCGUGUCUUGAACGCUUCCGCAAUGUGUCCUUUCCUCAAAAUUCUUUUAGCAUUGAGAGUCAAACUCUUUUAAAAUUGUUUACUUUCUAGUCUUUAUUUCUUUAGAGUUGGUACUUCGUUGAAAUGAUACUAUGUUGUUUUCUAAGUUAUUUCAAUUAUUAAAAUAUUUUGGUCAAA